rnacentral:lncRNA from 1 species
CUAAAGAAAAAUGCUUCGACAAUAACACUGAAUGAACCCAUUUGAAAAUGCCUUCGAGUUUGGUCCCAAAAUGAGCCCAAAUCCUUAAUGAGGGGAGGACGUCCAAAUACACAAAUAUGAUGUCAAAUCUGAAAUCGGGCAUCCAUUUAUUGGGCCAGCUUUAGGCCCAAAUUUUCUGAACCAACAAUUGUGCAAAAUCAAUUAAAUACAAACUAAUCAAGACUAUAUGAAACAUGCAAUUGAACUAACUUUUACUUUUGAAUUUUGAUAAUUCAAGCACAAGUGAACUAGCUAAGCAUUCUGAAAUUUAAACACCAAUUCCAAUUUAACAAGCUUAUUCACAACCAAUAUUAAAUCAAUACACAUUUACUCUUAAAAACAACUCUGACCAUUUUUUUUGUUGCUCUUUACGUGAAUUUUGCACUAACUACUAUUUAAGAAACUUCAAACUCAAUUAAACACUUCUCAAUAAUAUCAAUAACCAAUCCAGAAAUCUAGCAUACAGAUUAUUUGGAUCCUAAAAUCACACUAAGAUUCUCAACCUUAUGGAUUCGCUCUUUUAACAACUGAGUUUAGAAAGAGAAUACUGAAGCAAACAUGUAACUACUACAUCGAUUUUCUACCACCUAAAUCCAAUAUGGUACUAAACUUUCAGAAGCAUAGCUUCAACUUCACAGUACAUUAUCAGAAAAAUAAGAAGCUUAAGUAACAAAUGUAAUACGAGAUUCGCCACUAAAUGUUGAAAGAGCAGUAGAAACAGAAGAAAUAAUUUCAAGAAUAAAGGGAUUCAAGAACUAAACUAUGAGCAAAUGGCUUAAUACUAGGCUUCAAACUUCCAUUUUUAUUUCAUUCUUCCCACUCGAGCUUCACAUUAGACAAGAUUCAGAACAUGUACCUGGGACUAAAAGAUAAACAAAGAGGUGAAGGAUCAACAACGAGCAGCAGCAGAAAACCAACUUAAAAAUCAGCAAUGAAACAGUACAAAACCAGCAGAGCAAGCUUUAAAGCCCUGGACAAUUCCAAACAUCUAAAACCCAGUAUGAACCAUUCUAUUGAACCCUUGAAAUGUUGAUUUACCAAAGGAAGUAGAACUCGAAAACUUCAAGCAAAUUUAAGUAUUCUUACUUAAGAGAAAAUAUUCAACCGUUUUCGAUUUUUGUGUUUUUCUCUCUAAAGUCUCAGUUUUGCAAUUAAGCCCUUUUCUAAUUUUUGUUUUUGCUUAGACAACCUCAGGUUGUUGCAUUGCCUGCCAAGUAAGGCUGUUUUUUAGCUUCUAACAAGCUUCCUAAGGCUGUUAUUGAAAGAUUCCCUAAGUUAACUACCCAAAUUACCCUUUUACCUUCUGAAAAUUAAUUCAGGAACCAAAACAAAAAUAGGUCAAAACUGACCCAAGGUCCAAAACUCAAAUGAGCACGACAAAAUUGAAAUUAUGCCUCGCACAUUAUUCAUAGACCCAUUUAGCUAAAAGAAACAAAGGAGGAAACAAAUGAAUCAACUCCCAAGCUCAAAAUCUAACUAACAAAUGAUUCUUCUAAAGUGAUAUAAAAUUGAAUUACCCAUUUUAAUAACAAAAUAACCUAAACUAAUAUUCAGAAUAUUGACACGACUGAAAAUAAAACCAGAUAACAACAACUGCAAAUUUUAAAAAGAAACUGAGAGAAUGAAAAAGGAAGUAAAUACACAACACACAAAAUAACCAAACAAACUGUCCAGAAGGAGUACUAAGACUCGAAACUAAUUUCAACCAGGUCAUGCUAGAGAAAAAGAAAAAGAAAAAGAAAAGUCUAAGCAGAAAUAUGAACAAAAUAAGUGAGAAAAGACAAAGAAACUCACUAAUAUAGACUGAAAACCAACGGCGACCUAGGACGCGACCAAACCAAUAUUGAUCCCUCGUUCUUUGUCAGGAACGACUGAACGAUAUUAGUUUUGUCAGAUCCAACCUUCAAAACUCGAAAAGAACCAAACCCCACGGACGUGCAUACUAGGCUUGAAAAAAAUGAUUUCAAACUUUCGAGGUCAAACUCGGAUUCAAUAUUCAGAGAGCUUUCAGCUGAUUCGGGGGUAACUGACCAUACAUUAGGGAAAGGGUAUUGUGGUGACUAGAUAGUGUUAUUUUGAUGGGGUUUGGGAGUAGCGUCACCACCGAAAAAAUUGGGAUUUUGGGGAGGCUAGCUAGGGUUUCGAAGAUUUGAGUUUAUCCGGAUGGAUUUGAGGAAAUGUGUUUGUAUAUUUGGGAAAAGGGGGGUCAAGGAGAGGUGGUGGUGUAAUUUUGGGCAAGACUGGUCGCCGGUCGCCGCCGUGGGCGAUUUUCGCGGGUGGUGGCGGCGGACGGUAGUGUAGGGAAGAGUUUGGUCGGAGCCUCUGAAGGUUGUGGUGUGAGAGUUGAGGGGUUCUGAGAGAGGUAUGGGGUCGUGUUUGGACAUAUAUAUGUUACUUGAAGUACCAGUUCUCAUCCGUUAGAUGAGAUGAAAUCAACGGGUGAGAUAAAAAAUUAAC